GAUGAAGAACGUAGCGAAAUGCGAUAAGUAAUGUGAAUUGCAGAAUUCAGUGAAUCAUCGAAUCUUUGAACGCAUCUUGCGCUCCUUGGUAUUCUGAGGAGCAUGCCUGUUUGAGUGUCAUUAAAUUCUCAACUACACUGACUUUGAAUUGGUGUGGCUUGGAGUUGGGGGGGAAAAUUGUUGUGGGCUUUUUGUAUAGUCUGCUCCCCUGAAAUUGAUUAGCGGUACCUUUGUGGAACUGUCUACAGGUGUGAUAAUUAUCUACAUCCUAGACAUCUGCUGGAAUGCUGCUUUCUAAACCUUACUUGUAUUGACAAUCUUGACCUCAAAUCAGGUAGGACUACCCGCUGAACUUAAGCAUAUCAAUAAGCGGAGGA
rnacentral:misc_RNA from 1 species